rnacentral:rRNA from 1 species
CAAUAGCGUAUAUUAAAGUUGUUGCGGUUAAAAACGCUCGUAGUUGGAUAUCUGUCAGCGCACGGUGCUCCGCCUAGCGGUGUGUAGCCAUCAGUGUGCUGGCAUCAUCUUGGGAGGUGUGUCUGCACUUGAUUGUGCGGGCGACAAGCCAGGCAGCAUUUACUUUGAGGAAAUGAGAGUGUUUCAAGCAGGCGUCCGCCAUGAAUACGUUAGCAUGGAAUAAUAGUAUCGGACCUCGUCCCAAAGCUGUUGGUUCCUUGGGUCGAGGUAAAGGUGAAUAGGGAUUGUUGGGGCGGAUUCGUGAUUUAACUGUCAGAGGUGAAAUUCUUGGAUUUGUUAGAAGAUCGAACUA